GUGAGGUGCCAUUUCCUUCUCCAAGGGAUCUUCCUGACCCAGGGAUCAAACUGGAGUCUCCUGAAUUGUCAGCAUACGUGCUAGCAAAGCAAGCGCCGAGACUAAAUUUUGAAGACUGAGCUGGAAAGACGAGCUUAUCUUCCGUUAUGAUUUUGUCAUGGCACCCACCACCGACCUCUUGGCGCUUCCGCAAGUUAGGAGUCUUCCCAGCUCAGCGUGCACACAAGUCACCCGGCAGGCCGCAGCCCUCCUCCGGCCCAAGGUUCACCGGAGCGGGUGUGCAGCGGGGCCGGGGUCUGCCUUCCCGGGCAUGCGGCAGUCUGCGGUAGGUGGCAACGGACUUGAGGGGCACCACCCUGAAUCUCCCAAUCUCACCCCCACAUCUCUGCUUUCUCUCUCCUUAUCGUGCCGGUCGUUAAAUUCUCCUGAGGGA
ensembl:lncRNA